rnacentral:rRNA from 1 species
AUUGAACGCUGGCGGCAUGCUUUACACAUGCAAGUCGAACGGCAGCACGGGUGCUUGCACCUGGUGGCGAGUGGCGAACGGGUGAGUAAUGCAUCGGAACGUAUCCAAUAAUGGGGGAUAACGCAUCGAAAGGUGUGCUAAUACCGCAUACGCCCUGAGGGGGAAAGUGGGGGACCGCAAGGCCUCACGUUAUUGGAGCAGCCGAUGGCUGAUUAGCUAGUUGGUGAGGUAAAGGCUCACCAAGGCGACGAUCAGUAGCGGGUCUUAGAGGACGAUCCGCCACACUGGAACUGAGACACGGUCCAGACUCCUACGGGAGUCAGCAGUGGGGAACCUUGGACAAUGGGCGAAAGCCUGAUCCAGCAAUGCCGCGUGCGUGAAGAAGGCCUUCGGGUUGUAAAGCGCUUUUGUCUGGGAGCAAAUCCUGGCCUCUAAUACAGGUCGGGGAUGAGAGUACCAGAAGAAUAAGGACCGGCUAACUACGUGCCAGCAGCCGCGGUAAAAC